AGCAGCCGCGGUAAUUCCAGCUCCAAUAGCGUAUAUUAAAGUUGUUGCAGUUAAAAAGCUCGUAGUUGAAUUUCGGGAUCAAUAUAUUGGUCAUGCUUAGGUAUGUACUGGUAUUAUUGAUUUCUCCCUUCUGAAGAACCAUAAUGUCAUUAAUUUGAUGUCAUGGGGAAUCAGGACUGUUACUUUGAAAAAAUUGAGUGUUUAAAGCAGGCUUUCGCUUGAAUACAUUAGCAUGGAAUAAUGAAAUAGGACGUUUGAUUCUAUUUUGUUGGUUUCUAGGAUCGACGUAAUGAUUAAUAGGGAUAGUUGGGGCAUUAGUAUUCAAUUGUCAGAGGUGAAAUUCUUGGAUUUAUUGAAGACUAAACUACUGCGAAAGCAUUUGCCAAGGAUGUUUUCAUUAAUCAAGAACGAAAGUUAGGGAUCGAAGACGAUCAGAUACCGUCGUAGUCUUAACCAUAAACUAUGCCGACUAGGGAUCGGAUGAUGUUAAUUUUUAUGUACUC
rnacentral:rRNA from 1 species